rnacentral:rRNA from 1 species
GAUUAUGGCUCAGGAUGAACGCUAGCUACAGGCUUAACACAUGCAAGUCGAGGGGCAUCAUGGAGUUGCUUGCAAACUCUGAUGGCGACCGGCGCACGGGUGAGUAACGCGUAUCCAACCUUCCCUAUAGUAGAGGAUAGCCCGGCGAAAGUCGGAUUAAUACUCUAUGUUUUCCGUUGCAGACAUCUAAGAUGGAACAAAGGCUUGCCGCUAUAGGAUGGGGAUGCGUCUGAUUAGGUAGUCGGCGGGGUAACGGCCCACCGAGCCAUCGAUCAGGUAGGGUUCUGAGAGGAACGGUCCCCCACAUUGGAACUGAGACACGGUACCAAACUCCUACGGGAGGCAGCAGUGAGGAAUAGUUGGUCAAGUGGGCGAGAGCCUGAACCAGCCAAGUAGCGUGCGAGGAUGACCGGCCCUAGUGGGUUAGUAAACUGUCUUUUAUGCGGGGAUAAAGUUCACUACGUGUAGUGUUUUGUAGGUACCGCAUGAAUAAGGACCGGCUAAUUCCGUGCCAGCAGCUGC